CUCCAACUCCAAAAUUCUCCCCGGCUAAAUUCCUCCCAACGACGCCAGCCGUGAAACAGAAAAAGCUAAGACAUCUCCUACUCGAGCAGUCACCGAAGAAAUGUUGACAAGCGGUUGACUAUUAUCUUGCACCGCAAGUUGGAAAAUGCGGCGAAGAGAUGGCGGCGGCGAAGUGGCAAGGAUUUGCGUUUGGAAAGGAAGAAAGGCUUUAUUGAGGCCAAGGAGGAAACGUGAUAGCCGUUCGUGAUCCCGGAUCCUGUGAAAUUGCCGCAAUGUUUCUGGUGGACCAUCAAGGUUCUCUUCCGCCGCAUCCAACUUGUUCCGAAUGGCGUUGAGUUUGUUGAAAUAGGAGGUGACCGACAUGUUACCUUGGUGGAGAUCAUUAAGUUGCUGCCGGAGAGAAAAAGUUUUAGCCAAAUCGAGUUUUCCAUACAUUUCGACGAUGCUGGCCCUCAUCUCGGAGGCAAGCUCGGUGGGUGGAAGUCCGGUAGCUACUUUAGGAGAGAGAAAAUUUCUGAUCCAAGAACGAACUAGCGUGUUGCAUCGAUUCCAUUGUUGUUGAAGUUGCGGUUUAGUGGGUGAUGAAGCAUUGCUGGUGAGAAAACCAUCCUUAUCUUUGGCAACCAAAUCUCGCCGGAAAUCUCUGGCCCAGGUAAGAGUAGUUGUCAGUGCCGUUAAGAGGUUGUUUGAGGAGUACCUGUACUGGGCCAUCAAAAUGCAAAAUAAAUAGCUUGUCGCCCAGCUGUGGACGGUGGCUGGUGGCUGGAGUGAACUGAAAUGUAAACGUGUGUUGCCCGUUUCGCUGAUAGGGAUCUGUUUGACCUAAGUUGUAACCUGGAAGUGUGAGAAAAGGGUAGAUUGGUGGAUUUGUUCUAGCUCCAUCUGAAUGUGGGUCUGUGAAAUUGGUGUGGGUUGUUGAAGUUGGGUUGUUCAGACCUGUUUCAGUAGUGGAAUUGGUGUGGGAUGUGUUGUCGAUGGAACCCAUUUGUGGUUAAAAAAAAAAAAAAAAAAAAAAAAAAAAAAAAAAAAAAAAACUGAUUUGAUUUGGGUAGUUUGCAGGAAGAAAAGAAGGUAGCGGAAGCUGAUUCAGAGAGGUCGUUCUGAUACUAUGUCAGAAGCGAGAGUGGCAAGAAAAAGAGAUACCUUGAGUUUACCAGAGAAAGAGUAGACGAGUUUGCAACUUGGAAUGAAACAAGUUUGGAUGACCUUUGUGAUUGUGUGACGCCAGCUUUCUAUGAUAAGCGAACUCCCAUUGUUCGGGAGGGAGACCCAAUUGAAGAGAUGCUCUUUGUGCUGCAAGGCAACGUAUGGACCUACAGCUCCUGGGGCACUGCAACUACCCCUCGGAGGACUAAUCGUCACCCUAGUGAACAAGAUAUUCUUGAAGAGGAUCUUCUUCAAGAGGGUGACUUCUUCGGCGAAGAACUUGUUGCUUGGGCUAGAGAUGAAGCUUUAGCAUUCAACUUCCCCAUCUCAACCAGAACCCUUCAGGCGGUUACGAAUGUCGACGCCUUUGUUCUUAUGGCCUAUGACUUGAGAAAAAUAUUCAAAAAGCGUAAUCAGGAACUUGUUUCAGACAAUCUUUCUGUUGUUUCAUCUGAUCAGCCGCAAGGACAGCCUGAGAACCCUCCAGAAGAACAAUAAAUUGGUAAGGUGUUGUGGUGUAUUUUGAAAGCGUGAAGACAACAAGAAGAAUAAAAAUUUUUGCGCAUCGAAGACACUAAAUAAAACACUGUAUGUUUUCGGAAUAUUUGGUGAUGCUCCUCAGUCUGGUAUUCUAGAGGUUUCUGUCUUGAGUGAAGAGGAAGGCACAGCUGGGGCAAACUGAGUGUCAAGAAAUUUCUUAAUCUUUUGUAUCUGUCACUGCAUUAAAAAGUAGGAAACUGUGUUGUAACGCCAAAUUGACGAUUCAGACCUUUCUUUCAAGUUUCAUCAAGUAUUGGUAGAAUCUUUUGUUGACUCAAACAUGUAUAUUAAAACAUUUCUACA